rnacentral:tRNA from 1 species
GGGAGCGUGGUGGAACAGGUAGACACAUUGGACUUAAAAUCCAAUGGCUUAACGGCCGUGCGGGUUCGAGUCCCGCCGCUCCCACCA